rnacentral:rRNA from 1 species
UACGGAGGGGGCUAGCGUUGUUCGGAAUUACUGGGCGUAAAGCGCACGUAGGCGGACUGUUAAGUCGGGGGUGAAAUCCCGGGGCUCAACCCCGGAACUGCCUUCGAUACUGGCAGUCUAGAGGACGGUAGAGGCUAGUGGAAUGGCGAGUGUAGAGGUGAAAUUCGUAGAUAUUCGCCGGAACACCAGUGGCGAAGGCGACUGGCUGGACCGUUUCUGACGCUGAGGUGCGAAAGCGUGGGGAGCAAACAGG